ACUCCUACGGGAGGCAGCAGUGGGGAAUAUUGCACAAUGGGCGCAAGCCUGAUGCAGCCAUGCCGCGUGUAUGAAGAAGGCCUUCGGGUUGUAAAGUACUUUCAGCAGUGAGGAAGGUGGGUAUGUUAAUAGCAUACUCAUUUGACGUUAGCUGCAGAAGAAGCACCGGCUAACUCCGUGCCAGCAGCCGCGGUAAUACGGAGGGUGCGAGCGUUAAUCGGAAUUACUGGGCGUAAAGCGCAUGCAGGUGGUUUGUUAAGUCAGAUGUGAAAGCCCGGGGCUCAACCUCGGAAAUUGCAAUUUGAAACUGGCAAACUAGAGUACUGUAGAGGGGGGUAGAAUUUCAGGUGUAGCGGUGAAAUGACGUAGAGAUCUGAAGGAAUACCGGUGACGAAGGCGGCCCCCUGGACAGAUACUGACACUCAGAUGCGAAAGCGUGGGGAGCAAACAGGAUUAGAUACCCUGGUAAGGCUCU
rnacentral:rRNA from 1 species